rnacentral:rRNA from 1 species
AGAGUUUGAUCAUGGCUCAGGACUAACGCUGGCGGCGCGCCUAACACAUGCAAGUCGCACGAGAAACUUCGUAGCAAUACGGGGCUGUAAAGUGGCGAACGGGUGAGUAACACGUGGAUAACCUGCCUCGAAGUGGGGAAUAACCCCGGGAAACCGGAGCUAAUACCGCAUAAUCUGACGAGAUCUGUGGAUUUUGUCAGCAAAGGAGCAAUUCGCUUUGAGAGGGGUCCGCGGCUGAUUAGCUAGUUGGUGAGGUAAUGGCUCACCAAGGCCACGAUCAGUAGCCGGUCUGAGAGGACGGUCGGCCACACUGGAACUGAGACACGGUCCAGACUCCUACGGGAGGCAGCAGUGGGGAAUUUUUCGCAAUGGGGGCAACCCUGACGAAGCAACGCCGCGUGGGUGAUGAAGUAUUUCGGUACGUAAAACCCUUUCGACGGGGACGAAACCGCAAGGUUGACGGUACCCGUAGAAGAAGCCCCGGCUAACUCCGUGCCAGCAGCCGCGGUAAUACGGGGGGGGCAAGCGUUGUUCGGAAUUACUGGGCGUAAAGGGCGCGUAGGCGGUUUGCUAAGUUGGAUGUGAAAACUCUGGGCUUAACCCAGAGCCUGCAUCCAAAACUGGCAAACUUGAGUACUGGAGGGGAAAGCGGAAUUCCUGGUGUAGCGGUGAAAUGCGUAGAUAUCAGGAGGAACACCGGUGGCGAAGGCGGCUUUCUGGACAGUAACUGACGCUGAGGCGCGAAAGCUAGGGGAGCAAACAGGAUUAGAUACCCUAGUAGUCC